AACGAACGCUGGCGGCAGGCCUAACACAUGCAAGUCGAGCGGACCCUUCGGGGUUAGCGGCGGACGGGUGAGUAACGCGUGGGAAUAUGCCCUUCUCUACGGAAUAGUCCUGGGAAACUGGGGCUAAUACCGUAUACGCCCUUUGGGGGAAAGAUUUAUCGGGGAAGGAUUAGCCCGCGUUGGAUUAGGUAGUUGGUGGGGUAAUGGCCUACCAAGCCGACGAUCCAUAGCUGGUUUGAGAGGAUGAUCAGCCACACUGGGACUGAGACACGGCCCAGACUCCUACGGGAGGCAGCAGUGGGGAAUCUUAGACAAUGGGGGCAACCCUGAUCUAGCCAUGCCGCGUGAGUGAUGAAGGCCUUAGGGUUGUAAAGCUCUUUCAGCUGGGAAGAUAAUGACGGUACCAGCAGAAGAAGCCCCGGCUAACUCCGUG
rnacentral:rRNA from 1 species